CAACUUGUUAAUUAUGGGUUGCCAAACAGUGCUAGACUCUAGGUCAGUCUGGAACAUCCAGGUUCUAAUCAGAAACUCGGGAGCAAAUUCAACUUGGAGAUGAACAGACGUAUUAUCAGUGACUGCUGUUUGGGCUGCUGUUCAAUUUUGGAAAAUUCCUGAACCCUUGAUUGACUUCUACCGAAAACCAGAGCUGAGUUUCUCCCCCAGAAACGGUCCCGGAACUGUGUGAGCACAGAUAUGUCUGGGAGCUACUGGCUUCCAGCAGGUAAUAUUUGCACUCAUCAGACUUGCGGAAUGUACCAACAUUCUGUGCUGUUUGAACCAGGAUCACUGCCAGGAAAAUGCAACACACAAAAAUUGUUCCAGUUACGAAGAAAGAUUUGUCUGCUACAAAACAAGUUUGAAAUACACUUCUGUGUACAGUAUUUUCUCAGAAUCCUUUUCAGAAGGUGGAAGCAUUUUCCUGGAAAGGUAAUUUUGGCAGAGCUCUCUGCAUGUGUGCCAGGAGGCUGGCUUGGCUGGAGGAGGGGCAAGGGCUGGC
rnacentral:lncRNA from 1 species